rnacentral:rRNA from 1 species
UAUACAUGCAGUCGAGCGAACUGAUGAAGAGCUUGCUUUUGAUCAGUUAGCGGCGGACGGGUGAGUAACACGUGGGUAACCUGCCUGUAAGACUAGGAUAACUCCGGGAAACCGGGGCUAAUACUGGAUAACUUUUCUCUCCGCAUGGAGAGAGAUUGAAAGAUGGCUUCGGCUAUCACUUACAGAUGGACCCGCGGCGCAUUAGCUAGUUGGUGAGGUAACGGCUCACCAAGGCAACGAUGCGUAGCCGACCUGAGAGGGUGAUCGGCCACAUUGGGACUGAGACACGGCCCAAACUCCUACGGGAGGCAGCAGUAGGGAAUCUUCCGCAAUGGACGAAAGUCUGACGGAGCAACGCCGCGUGAGUGAAGAAGGUCUUCGGAUCGUAAAACUCUGUUGUUAGGGAAGAACAAGUAUCGUUCGAAUAGGGCGGUACCUUGACGGUACCUAACCAGAAAGCCACGGCUAACUACGUGCCAGCAGCCGCGGUAAUACGUAGGUGGCAAGCGUUGUCCGGAAUUAUUGGGCGUAAAGCGCGCGCAGGCGGUCUUUUAAGUCUGAUGUGAAAGCCCACGGCUCAACCGUGGAGGGUCAUUGGAAACUGGAAGACUUGAGUGCAGAAGAGGAGAGUGGAAUUCCACGUGUAGCGGUGAAAUGCGUAGAGAUGUGGAGGAACACCAGUGGCGAAGGCGACUCUCUGGUCUGUAACUGACGCUGAGGCGCGAAAGCGUGGGGAGCAAACAGGAUUAGAUACCCUGGUAGUCCACGCCGUAAACGAUGAGUGCUAAGUGUUAGAGGGU